GCCUCCUCUGUCCUUCCACACGUCUACCUUCCCAACCAUUCCCCAACGCGCCAUCGAGUCGGCAUUCUGUCCUCCCGCCUCCUCAGCCAGCCCUUCUCCACCGCCCCUCAAGCUUCCUUCUACCCUGGGGGUCUUACGUGGGCAGGUUGUACAGGGGGGUCAUGCGGAAACAGGCAACGACCGCCCUCCGGCGCUGCUUGGACAAGAGCUUGUGCCACACGGCCUUCUUGGAUUUGUAAGGGUGCUCGAUCUGGGGGGCGGGGGGGGGGGGGGGGGGGGGGGUGGGUGGAGCCGGGCGGCAAUCUGUCAUGUCCCCGCCUCUACCCCGAUCUGAUUCCUACCCCAGACCCCCUGGGUGAAACUGCCCAUCUAUGCCCAGGCCCAAAUUCAGGCCCAACUCACAGGGCUGUAGGAACUCCCCGGCUGUACCAAGAGAGUCAAGGUUCGAACCUGGGCUUUGCUUCCAGACCGAAAUGUCUGUCCUAGGCCCGCCCACAGGCCCAGGGUCACUACCCAGGCCCGUCACCAUCCAGAGACCCACCCACGGUCCUGCCCAGAGUCAAGGCGUCUUCACCAGGCCCCACUCUAGACCCCAAAUUCUGACCCUGACCCCGCCCCUAGGCCCGAGAUCUAAGCACCAGGUCCUUCCCCUGGGGUUCCCAAAUUCCUUUCUAAAGCCUCGCGUUUAACUCCAGGCUCCACCCAGAGACCCAAGGUUCACCCUCAGACCCCGCCCACAGAUUCAAGGCCCGCCCCUUGCCCCGCCCAGAGACCCCAGCUCCCCGCCCCCUCCCAAGACCCUUCCAGCCCAGCCACCUGCUCCAGAUGGUAGAGCACCGCAGACACCUCCUGGACCCUGCGCACGAUCUUCUCGGGGUCGUCGGCGUCCUCCUCACGGCCCGGGAGGCCCCGGUACAGGGCCAUCUGCCAGCGCAAAGAAGGGGAGCCUUCCACCUGACGGGAGGGAAGAACGGCGGCCGGCGUGAGGGUCCCUCCCCCUGCUGGCUCCCGUUCCCCAGCCGGGCUCGUCUGAGGGCCCCUCCGCUCACUCGAGGUGGGCUUCUCUGGCUGCCCCGCCCCCCUUUCGGUGCCGUGACCAUUCAUUCUGACCAUUCAUUCGGUGGGUGAGUACACGUUAAGGUCCUUCUCACCCUGCCUGGUACAGAGUAAGUAUACUUGGCUAUUAUUGUUGCUACUGUCCUAACGUGCCCCUUUUGGUUGCAGAUUAAGGAGGGUACCUUUCCCUGAAGGUGAAGGUUGUUCUGCAGAUAUUCCCGGACCUCCUCAUCUGUGUCUUUCUGGGGAGACAUGGCCAGACUGGGUCACUCUGAUGGCCC
rnacentral:lncRNA from 1 species